ACACCGUGGGCCGUCGCAUCCUGGUGUGGAACGAGCCAAACUGACGCCCGUCAUUGUGCUCUCGAACAACGAGGUGUUUCCAGAUGACGAGGCCUUCAACCACCGCAUGUGGCGCUACAAGUGGCGAGCGUGUCCUCCACUAAAGAAAUACGACAAGAAGAUCCACCCGAUGGACUGGUCCUCCUGUUUGAUGCUUUUGUACUCGAAGAAACAUACGUCGGCACGCGCCAGCUUGAUCAAUAAACAGCUUUCAACCUAA
rnacentral:lncRNA from 1 species